GAUGAACGCUGGCGGCGUGCCUAAUACAUGCAAGUCGAGCGAACAGACGGGGAGCUUGCUCCUCUGACGUUAGCGGCGGACGGGUGAGUAACACGUGGAUAACCUACCUAUAAGACUGGGAUAACUUCGGGAAACCGGAGCUAAUACCGGAUAAUAUAUUGAACCGCAUGGUUCAAUAGUGAAAGACGGUUUUGCUGUCACUUUAGAUGGAUCCGCGCCGCAUUAGCUAGUUGGUAAGGUAACGGCUUACCAAGGCGACGAUGCGUAGCCGACCUGAGAGGGUGAUCGGCCACACUGGAACUGAGACACGGUCCAGACUCCUACGGGAGGCAGCAGUAGGGAAUCUUCCGCAAUGGGCGAAAGCCUGACGGAGCAACGCCGCGUGAGUGAUGAAGGUCUUCGGAUCGUAAAACUCUGUUAUUAGGGAAGAACAAAUGUGUAAGUAACUAUGCACGUCUUGACGGUACCUAAUCAGAAAGCCACGGCUAACUACGUG
rnacentral:rRNA from 1 species